GCCGCGGUAAUACAGAGGGUGCGAGCGUUGUUCGGAAUCACUGGGUGUAAAGCGCGUGCAGGCGGCCGUGCAAGUCGUGCGUGAAAGCGCCCGGCUCAACCGGGCGAGGUCGUGCGAAACUGCGGGGCUUGAGGCAGGUAGAGGCGUGUGGAAUUCCGGGUGUAGUGGUGAAAUGCGUAGAGAUCCGGAGGAACACCAGUGGCGAAGGCGGCACGCUGGGCCUGGCCUGACGCUCAGACGCGAAAGCAUGGGGAGCGAACGG
rnacentral:rRNA from 1 species